rnacentral:sRNA from 1 species
ACUGUAGAGGUGGAGGCCCUCUUCAGUUCUGGAGUUCGUCUUAUCUCCCAACUCUGAUGCUCCUUCCCUUGGUUUCUGGGCUCCCUUGAACUCCCCUAGCUCCGUGCUCACGGCCAUCUCAGGGUCUCCCCUGCUUGCAGCUGCACUUGGUACAGCCUGUGCCAGCCCCUGAGGGACCGGCUGCAGCUUCACUGGCAAACAGGCGGGCAAGGGGCACAGGGCUGCUGGCCGGAGCUGCCUGCACUCUGCAGGAGCUGUUCACCCGCUCACUGGCUGAGAGCGAGCUCCGUAGUGCCCCGUAUGAGUUCCCCGAGGAGAGCCCCAUUGAACAGCUGGAGGAGCGGCGGCAGCGGCUGGAGCGGCAGAUCAGCCAGGAUGUCAAGCUGGAGCCAGACAUCCUGCUUCGGGCCAAGCAAGAUUUCCUGAAGACGGACAGUGACUCGGACCUACAGCUCUACAAGGAACAGGGUGAGGGGCAGGGUGACCGGAGCCUGCGGGAGCGUGAUGUGCUGGAACGGGAGUUUCAGCGGGUCACCAUCUCUGGGGAGGA